CAAACUGUAGAUCUGUAGCAACCCUGGGUUGAGAAAGUCUUUCAGAGCCAUUUUUCCGACAGCAUUCACUUCGUGUCUCUGAAUCACAUUUACUUAACUCUUCACAUUUUUCAAAUAUUUUCAGCAUUACAGUAUUUAUGUGACUGAACUGCUGCAAUCUCCUGAUAAAACUUAAAUGAAUUAAGUAGCUGCUUUUUAUGGAUGAGCAAAAAAAAAGUGGUUUAAGAUGAAAUCUAUGUAGUCCUGGUGAAGAAGCUGUGAAGACUGGAGAAGUGACAACAACGGGUUUAGAAUAUCACAUAAACUUAGUUGAGAAAGCAGUGGCAGGGUUUGAGAGGUCUGAUUCCAAUUUUGAAAGACGUGCCUGCUACAGAGAAAUCAUUUGUGGAAGGAAGAGUCAAUCAGUGUGGCAAACUUCAUUGUUGUCUUAUUUUAAGAAACUUUGACAGCAACCACUACCCUAAUCAGUCAGCAGACACAAACAUCGAGGCAGGACCCUCUAUCAGGAAAAAGAUUACAAUUCAUUGAAGGUGCAGAUGACAGUUAGCAUAUUUUAGCAAUGAAGUAUUUUAAUUAAGGUAUAUACAUUGUUUAAGACAAAAUACUACUGCACACUUAAUAGACUACAUUAUAGUGUAAGUAUAACUUAUAUAUGCAUUGGAAAACCAAAAACUUCAUGUGACUUGCUUUCUUGUGAUAUUAGGUUUAUUAAGGUGCUCUGGAGCUGAAUCCAUACUAUCUCUGAGGUAUGCCUGUACUACAAAAACUAGAAUGUAUGCUUCGUGUGGACAGACUGCCAAAGAAAAGGGGAUCAGUUUGUAGUACUGUUCCUUCUACAAUAUUCAAUAAGGAGUACAGUCAUUACUUUCCCCUUGAAAAAGAAGAACAGAAAUGAGCUUCUCCGAUAUUUUUUCCCCCCUCCUGGGAUCAGACUGUGUGACUGAUGAUCACCAAUUCUGUGACAUUCUACCCAUCAAGCAGUUGGGCCUAGGACCCUUAAAUCUGGGCAAGACUGCUAGACCAUUAGAAUACAGGAGAAAUGACACUGGGCCAGUGUGGAGGCCACAUCUUAAAAAACUGACAGCUUUUAUUUUUCUUAAAAUACUUGCUCUUUAAAACCAUCUACCAUCUUGUGGGGAAGCACAAGCAGCCCCAUAGAAAAGUACAUGCGGAGAGGAACUGAGACUCCAACUGCACUCCCGGAUGAAAGUCAUGUAUUAGUUAAAUGGCUAUGUGAAUAAGCCCUCUCGAAAUUCUCCAGACCCAGCCAAGUUGCUCCAGCAGUACUCAGCAAUCCUUGCCAAACUGCUCAUUCAUGAAUAAAAUUAAUGGCCAAUUCUUGUUCUCAGCCCCUAAGCUGUGAGGUAGCUUGUUAAAAGCAUGAGAUAACCACAAACAGCAGAAAUUCCCUUCCCUCCCUAAAAAUUAUAAGGGGUGGAGAAUGAGUCUAAAUAGGUUUUUUAAAAAAUCUAGCUUGAACAUACAGUGACAACUACAUACAUAGGCCAUUAAAGAAUUAGGCCCCGUAUUAGGUGUGGUCUUCCGAGGCAAUCUAUACAGGGAGCUCCCAUAUAUGCCUAGUUCUGUUCUAAGCCUAAAGUGUAGUAAGCAAGACAGAUUGGGUUGUAGAUCUAGAACAGGUUACAUUACAAUUAGGGAGUCUUAAGGCACAAAUGUUAACAUGUAUAAACUGGAAUUAUAAAGUGCGGAUGUGUUUUGUCACUAUCUGGAAAAAAAAUCUCAGUCUUAUUCUAUUCAAUCUGACCAAAGCAAAGAUGUUGGGAGGGGGUGCUUUUCCUCCAUUUCCAAAAGGGCUGACCACAAAAAAAGUAGUUCCGAUGGGCUGGGAAGGUAUCUAUCACUCCUACUGACGAGGAAAGGCAGCUAGGGAUCGAGGUGAGGAAAACGAUGCCUGGAAAGACAAAGAAACCCUCUCCCUCACACUUUAGCUCAUGUAACAAAAUUUGCCUGCUUAUCUAGAUCUAUCAAACCUAUUCUGUAGAUCAAAGGUGGUAAAAUGUCUUUCUCUUUGUAGUUUUUGGUAGAAAACAAUUACCCCAGACUCUCCCCCUAAAGCAAGUCCUCCUGCCACACACAAACAACACGCUCAAGUAUUUCCCAUCUUCAAAGAACACAAAAGGCAAAAACUUCCUCUACACUGCCACAGCUACUGCCCCCCUUUCUCCGAUUCUCUUUGGGCAACCUGGUAUUGUCUAGGUUCACUCUAAUGAGAAUUUUAACCUUAUCACCCUUUAAAACCCCAUUAUUGUCAUAAAGGUCCUUCCCUUCAGUAAAUCCAUAGGUUAAUAUUUGAUCUGUGAUGAAUACUUGAAGCAACAGCAUUUAACAGAGUUCAUUUACCAUCUUUCUCCUUGUGAAGUUUCUAUUUCUACACUGGCUUUCACUCUACCUGUCCAUGUCCUUUGCUGGUUUCCUCUCAUCUCUCUGCAAAGAAAGUUAGUGUUGAACUAGGGCUCAACCUUCCCAAAGUGUCUUUAUCCAACACUGUCUAAAAUUUCUCUGGUCAGGAUUUCUCAACCUUGGCACUAGGUUGAGAUAAAGCUUUGUCAUGGGAGCCUGCUCUACGUAUCACAGAAUGUUCAGCAGUAUCCUUGGCCUUUAUAUUAAGUAGAUGCCAAGAGUAUCCUCAAUCAUUUUGGCAAAAAGGCGUCUCCAGACAUUGCCAAAGCCCCCUGGGGGGCAAAGUUACUACUGACUGAAAACCACUUAUCUAGUUCCUUGGCUUGAAAUACUAUCUAUAUACACCAAUAGCUGUGUAACUUGUCUGGAGCCUGAAUCUCUCCUCCAAUUGCCUUCUCAUUAUCUCCAAUUAUAUAUCAUGUGCAUCUCACUUAAUACAUCAAAACUAGAUUUCUCAUUUACACAUUGUUUGACAUCUCUCUUGUUCUUAACCUCACACUUUUUUUUCAUUUUGUCUUGUUUUUGUCUCUUUUUUUUGGGGGGGGGGGGGCUGCACCUCUGGCAUAUGGAAGUUUCCAGGCUAGGUGCUGAAUUAGAGCUGCAGCUGCCAGCCUACACCACAGCCACAGCAAUGCAGGAUCCCCAACCCACUGAAUGAGCCAAGGAUCAAACCAGUGUCCUCAGGGAUACUGGUCAAGUUCGUUACUGCUGAGCCACGAUGGGAACUCCAACCUCACACUUUUACCCAUCAGUAAAACCUACUGACUCUGCCUUCAGAACAUACCCCAAAUCUAACCGCUUUUUACCACCUCCACUGCUACCAAUGCAGCCCAAGCUGGCAUUAUCUCUCAUUGAGAUCAUUACCUCCUAAGAGUCUCUCUGCUUCCACCCUGGUCCCCCUAGUCCAAUGGUUCUCACUUGGGAACUUAUUAGAAAUGCAAAUUCUCCUCCCACACCCCUAAACUAGUAAAUCAGAAACUCUGAGCACAGGGCAUAAAAACUGGCUAUUAAGCACCCCCCCAUCAAAUUCCUGAACCACUUCCCUGUUCCCAUCUCUCUAGUCGUAGUCCCUACACCACUUUCUCCCUAGCUCACCUUGCCCAGUCACAACGAACUUUCGGUUCUACAAACACACUCAGAACAUUCACAGCACAGCACAUUGUCAUUACUUGUCCCUCUUCCUGAAAAGCUCUUCACCCUCCCAGAUAUUCUUCAGGUCUCUAUUUAAUGCCAUCUUCUCAAUGAGGCCAUCUCUGACUACCCUAUAUAAAUAAUACCUUUUUCCUAGAGUUUCCCUUGUGGCACAGUGGAAACAAUCCGACUAGGAACCGUAGGGAUGCGGGUUCAAUCCCUGGCCUUGCUCAGUAGGUUAAGGAUCCGGCAUUGCCAUGAGCUGUGGUGUAGGUCACAGACAUGGCUCGAAUCUGACAUUGCUGUGGCUGUGGCAUAGGCUGGCACUACAGCUUCAACUGGACCUCUAGCCUGGGACCCUCCAUAUGCCAACAGUGCGGCCUUAAAAAGCAAAAAUAAAAAAUAAAAACAAAUAAAAUAAAAUACCUUCUUCCUGAAAUAGUCUCCACACUCUGCUUAAUUUUUCAGCAAAGGCCUUGUCACUACCUAACAGGCUAUAUGUGUAUGUUUUCACGGUCUCCCUGCAUCCUACUAUGUAGACCCCAUAUGGACAGAACUUCAUUUUAUUUACUGCUAUACUAUGAGCAACUACAAAAGAACCUGUGACUCAACAGAUGUUCAAAUAGAUGUUCACUUUCUUGGGCAACAGUUCCCUAUUGUUGACUAGAGGAAAGAUACAAAGAAGUCAAGGAAAAACACUUAAUAUUACUUAAGUAGCUGCCCAGAAAUUCCGAAACAAAAAUCCCCAAACUGUAAGUGAAUGAGAGGGACAGAAUGCAACAGUUGACAGUUCAGAGUACAUCAACUGGUUAGCAAAGUUUAGGAGGGCUCUAAAAUGAAUCCCAGAAGAACCAACAAGCUUUACAUAAGCCAAAGAAGAUGGAUGAAAUUCCAGAAGGGAGAAUACCGCAUGCCACACUAGAGAAGCACAGAUUUGCCAAGUAUAGUCUUCCCAAGCCUGUUUGUUCACUGGAUAUACUGUUACCUUGAGGAAUGGUUAAAAGGAUGGUAGAGGAUAGGACAAGGUUGAAUUAAACAGGUUUCUUUAAUGCAGGACUUCUUGCUGACUUAAUCAACCUGUUUAAAGUUAACCUCUAAGAGAAGGAGGACAGUAUACAGUACUUCCCCACCUAAACCACGUAACUCUUUGUUUUGCACAAAGACGUGCCUUAGCUUCACUUUCAUCACUAAUGUUAGUGACAUUCUUACCUCUUCAAUUCUGUUGUAACUUGCCUAUAAAAUUAAUAGAGUAAUAACGUC
rnacentral:lncRNA from 1 species